AUACGAAGGGGGCUAGCGUUGUUCGGAAUUACUGGGCGUAAAGCGCAUGUAGGCGGACAUUUAAGUCAGGUGUGAAAGCCCACGGCUCAACCGUGGAAUUGCACUUGAUACUGCAUUGCUUGAGUUCGGGAGAGGGUAGUGGAAUUCCAGGUGUAGGAGUGAAAUCCGUAGAGAUCUGGAGGAACACCAGUGGCGAAGGCGACUACCUGGACCGAUACUGACACUGAGGAGCGAAAGCGUGGGGAGC
rnacentral:rRNA from 1 species